rnacentral:rRNA from 1 species
CCUAACCUUAUCCUUUUGUUGCCAGCGGUCCGGCCGGGAACUCAAAGGAGACUGCCAGUGAUAAACUGGAGGAAGGUGGGAUGACGUCAAGUCAUCAUGGCCCUUACGACCAGGGCUACACACGUGCUACAAUGGCGCAUACAAAGAGAAGCGACCUCGCGAGAGCAAGCGGACCUCAUAAAGUGCGUCGUAGUCCGGAUUGGAGUCUGCAACUCGACUCCAUGAAGUCGGAAUCGCUAGUAAUCGUGGAUCAGAAUGCCACGGUGAAUACGUUCCCGGGCCUU